rnacentral:rRNA from 1 species
UACGUAGGGCGCAAGGCGUUAUCCGGAAUUAUUGGGCGUAAAAGAGCUCGUAGGCGGUUUGUCGCGUCUGCCGUGAAAGUCCGGGGCUCAACUCCGGAUCUGCGGUGGGUACGGGCAGACUAGAGUGAUGUAGGGGAGACUGGAAUUCCUGGUGUAGCGGUGAAAUGCGCAGAUAUCAGGAGGAACACCGAUGGCGAAGGCAGGUCUCUGGGCAUUAACUGACGCUGAGGAGCGAAAGCAUGGGGAGCGAACAGG